rnacentral:tRNA from 1 species
GGGCCCGUAGCUCAAUUGGCUAGAGCGCCACAAUGGCAUUGUGGAGGUUGUCGGUUCAAUCCCGAUCGGGUCCA